rnacentral:rRNA from 1 species
GACGAACGCUGGCGGCGUGCCUAAUACAUGCGAGUUGAGCGAUGAAGCUUGGUGCUUGCACCAAUUUGAAGAGCAGCGAACGGGUGAGUAACGCGUGGGGAAUCUGCCUUUGAGCGGGGGACAACAUUUGGAAACGAAUGCUAAUACCGCAUAAUAACUUUAAACAUAAGUUUUAAGUUUGAAAGAUGCAAUUGCAUCACUCAAAGAUGAUCCCGCGUUGUAUUAGCUAGUUGGUGAGGUAAAGGCUCACCAAGGCGAUGAUACAUAGCCGACCUGAGAGGGUGAUCGGCCACAUUGGGACUGAGACACGGCCCAAACUCCUACGGGAGGCAGCAGUAGGGAAUCUUCGGCAAUGGACGAAAGUCUGACCGAGCAACGCCGCGUGAGUGAAGAAGGUUUUCGGAUCGUAAAACUCUGUUGGUAGAGAAGAACGUUGGUGAGAGUGGAAAGCUCAUCAAGUGACGGUAACUACCCAGAAAGGGACGGCUAACUACGUG